GACGAACGCUGGCGGCGUGCUUAACACAUGCAAGUCGAACGGAAAGGCCCUGCUUGCAGGGUACUCGAGUGGCGAACGGGUGAGUAACACGUGGGUGAUCUGCCCUGCACUUCGGGAUAAGCCUGGGAAACUGGGUCUAAUACCGGAUAGGAGCCAUUUUUAGUGUGAUGGUUGGAAAGUUUUUUCGGUGUAGGAUGAGCCCGCGGCCUAUCAGCUUGUUGGUGGGGUAAUGGCCUACCAAGGCGGCGACGGGUAGCCGGCCUGAGAGGGUGGACGGCCACAUUGGGACUGAGAUACGGCCCAGACUCCUACGGGAGGCAGCAGUGGGGAAUAUUGCACAAUGGGCGCAAGCCUGAUGCAGCGACGCCGCGGGGGGGAUGACGGCCUUCGGGUUGUAAACUCCUUUCGCUAGGGACGAAGCUUUUUGUGACGGUACCUAGAUAAGAAGCACCGGCUAACUACGUG
rnacentral:rRNA from 1 species